GGNGAGUAACACGNGGGUAACCUNCCUGUAAGACUGGGAUAACUCCGGGAAACCGGGGCUAAUACCGGAUGGUUGUUUGAACCGCAUGGUUCAAACAUAAAAGGUGGCUUCGGCUACCACUUACAGAUGGACCCGCGGCGCAUUAGCUAGUUGGUGAGGUAAUGGCUCACCAAGGCAACGAUGCGUAGCCGACCUGAGAGGGUGAUCGGCCACACUGGGACUGAGACACGGCCCAGACUCCUACGGGAGGCAGCAGUAGGGAAUCUUCCGCAAUGGACGAAAGNCUGACGGAGCAACGCCGCGUGAGUGAUGAAGGUUUUCGGAUCGUAAAGCUCUGUUGUCAGGGAAGAACAAGUACCGUUCGAAUAGGGCGGUACCUUGACGGUACCUAACCAGAAAGCCACGGCUAACUACGUGCCAGCAGCCGCGGUAAUACGUAGGUGGCAAGCGUUGUCCGGAAUUAUUGGGCGUAAAGGGCUCGCAGGCGGUUUCUUAAGUCUGAUGUGAAAGCCCCCGGCUCAACCGGGGAGGGUCAUUGGAAACUGGGGAACUUGAGUGCANAANANGAGAGUGGAAUUCCACGUGUAGCGGUGAAAUGCGUAGAGAUGUGGAGGAACACCAGUGGCGAAGGCGACUCUCUGGUCUGUAACUGACGCUGANGAGCGAAAGCGUGNGGAGCGAACAGGAUUANAUACCCUGGUAGUCCACGCC
rnacentral:rRNA from 1 species